GCACCGGGCUGACCUGCCGAGCACACACAGAGUUCAGCACAGACGCCUCCAUCAUUAGAGGCAUCUGAUGACCUCGUCUGGAGUGGACGAGGAGAUUGACGGUGACCUUAAUAAGAAAAGAUGUAAUCACAACUGGAAGAAGCCGGAGCAGCUGGAGGUCGAGGGAUGAUGUGCCGACGUGAUGAGAAAACAAAAAUAAAUAAAAUCAUUGACUUAAUUAAAUUCAGUUUGGUUUUUUAGAUACGUCAUCUUAUUUUGACUUUGUUACUAUGUUCAAUUAGCAUUUUAAUGGCUGAAUUGUUUUAUUUUAAUGUGCGCUGAAGUCAGAAUGGACUUUAUUGCAUUUUUUUUUUUUAAAUGUUCUUUUAUAAUGUUUACAGAACAUCACGGGGGGGUUGGGACUGUUUUGAAAUGUGCAGAGCUCAGCCUGUUGGUUGAUUAUCUAACCCUUCCUGUUUUUCCGUCAGGCACAGAUGAAGACAAAGUGUUGACACACGCUGGUUUGUUUGGCUUGCCGAGUUGCUCCAAUGCUGUUCUUUCCACAUUUUUAAUUAACUUUUAUCAAAUUUUUGCAUAUUAUCCAUCGACUUCCAUGCAUCUAAUUUACCUCCAUAUUUACACUUGCCUCAUCAGUCUAUCACUUCUUUCAUAUAAAGUCCCUUCGCUCCCAUUCUUCCCAUUUACUUCCAUAUUUUCCAGUUGGUACAUAGCAUUACUUAGUUUAUCUGAUACUUCAACUUUUUUUUUCUUCACAUUGUAAAACCACAUUUGCAUUUCAUCCCUUCGUUUCCAUCCAUCAA